GACGUAGGGCGCGAGCGUUGUCCGGAUUUACUGGGCGUAAAGAGCGUGUAGGCGGCCAAGCAGGUCCGUUGUGAAAACUGGAGGCUUAACCUCGAGACGCCGAUGGAAACCAUCUGACUAGAGUCCGGAAGAGGAGAGUGGAAUUCCUGGUGUAGCGGUGAAAUGCGUAGAUAUCUGGAGGAACACCGGUGGCGAAGGCGGCAUCCUGGACCGGCAUUGACGCUGAGGCGCGAAAGCCAGGGGAGCAAACGGG
rnacentral:rRNA from 1 species